AUGUUCUUCAGCACCUUAAAAUGUUUUAUUAUUUCAUUUCUCGUUCUAUGUUUUUGUGAUUGCAUCUCAGCUAACUAUGGGUACGUGAAAUUCAAUGAAACAUGCGUUCAUAGUGAUAACUGCGUCGACUACAAAAUGGUCUGCGUCAAAGCAGAAAAUGAAGAGAUGCGAUGUCUUUGCUCUGACAUGUUGUACGUUUGGAGUGAGCAGUUGGAACAAUGCAUCAUGGACUCAGAUAAAUUGAAAAAAUGGUUGUUUCGUGUCCAGGCUGAUAUAAGUGAAUCUGGAGAAGCACGCCAAAAAGAGUCCAACAGUGCUUUUGUAGCACUGACACUGUGCGGUGUCCUCAUUGUUCUUUCUCUGCUAAGUUUUCUGGGCUUUGUUUGUGUUUUAUUUGGAUGUAGGAUAGAUACUACUCCUAAAUAA
rnacentral:lncRNA from 1 species